UGUAGAGUCCUGAAACAUUUUCCUCACAGGGCGCCACCUUCGGAGAGGUGACAGAAAUGACUGACAUUUUUGAAGGAAGCAUCAUACGGCUAGUUAGGAGGCUGGAUGAAUUUCUGAAUCAGCUAAAAGCUGCUGCUGAAGCUGUUGGGGUGGUCAACCUUGAGAGUUUGCCAGCUAAAAGCUGCUGAAGCUUCUUGUUUCCCUUGCAUUUGUUAACUUGCACAGGGCAUGAUUGCUCUAUUGUCUAUUGUCUAGAAAAACUGAUCGCCUACCUGGGUGGCAUCUGCAUCGUGCUUGUCAGAUUAUUUGUGUGGUCAAAUGAAACGGAUGACAGUGGAAGCCAUGUUGUUGUUUUGUUUGUUCCCAGCCCUGACUAUGGUCGUCGAGCGAGUCCGGCAUGUUGUUCAUCUAGUAGAGCUUGUUAGGAGUCUGAAUCUAAGAACUUGUAGAGUUUGUUAGUAUUACAAUUGUAGAGCUUGUUACACUUGUAG